GUACUUGUGUUGCAAGUCUCGGAGGCCGAGAGUAGGUUCGUUAGUGGGAUAGCUCAUAAGUAGUGCGCAUUUUCUGUAUUCAUAAAGCACGUAUUUCAAG